ensembl:lncRNA
GCUGUUUUAAAGACUACAUAUAGUUAUUAUAUUAUCUUUAAAUUACUUUUUAAUUAUUGCCCUGGAUCAGUAGGAUGAUAUUGUAAUAAAGUAGCGGUGGUAGCGGCAGAUUUUAAGUAUCAAUUCUGCUUAAAAAGAUGCAAUCUCAUCCUGUUUACAUGAAAUAAGGCCGCUCCCGAGCAGGUUUAAGUUUACGGACCUGUUGCUAUGACAGCAACUCCGAGACGAGCUUCGAAGAACCAAAACUAUCCAAAAUCAAGACAAAUCAUCAACAAUCGAAUCCAGCUAACUGAGUUAGCGACCUACGAAGAGCGGGACCCUGGUCUAGAUAGAAAUAGUUAACUUUACAAAGCAUUAACAUUUAACACAUCCUCAAAAUAAAAGGAGGGAAAACGACAGCGAGACAGCCAACAAUGUUUAAAAUGGAGGCGUUGUCAAGCCUACCUGCAGUAAGAGGGGUUCUCGGGACGCACGUGCACGUGUUGGUCAUAAUGAAUCUUCAUCGCUGGAAAAACUAAAGGACGAACUUGCAGCCAGACUAUCUGCAGUUCUGUUGCCAUAUUUAUGAGUUACGGUUAUGUUGGCCAUACAAAACACAGAGCCAUGUUAACCAGUCGGCCUCUGAAGGAGAGAGACACUGACAGACUGCCUCCAUCUCAAGUCGAGCAGCUGUUGUUGUAACUACCCCUGCUUAUCUCUGCACUUCCUAGUUUGCUAUAUCAAACGGAGAUGAAUUCAGAGAAGAAUUUAUUUAAGUGUUUCUAAUCUAGACGCACCACAAACACACACAUUUAUAAGCCCGAUGUGAAUGGCUCUAUGUGUGCAUCUAUCAUCACAGCUUCUUCACAUCUGUCCUCCUCUUUUACGUCCUAAUCCUCAUCAUUCAGCACAGCGCUCUGUGUGUGUGUG